rnacentral:rRNA from 1 species
UACAGAGGGUGCGAGCGUUAAUCGGAAUUACUGGGCGUAAAGCGUGCGUAGACGGUUAUGUAAGUUAGGUGUGAAAGCCCCGGGCUCAACCUGGGAAUUGCAUUUAAGACUGCAUAGCUAGGGUGCGGAAGAGGGAAGCGGAAUUUCCGGUGUAGCGGUGAAAUGCGUAGAUAUCGGAAGGAACAUCAGUGGCGAAAGCGGCUUCCUGGUCCAGCACCGACGUCAGGCACGAAAGCGUGGGGAGCAAACAGG